AUUUUAGUUAUUACUUCAUUGGUUGUGGGCCUUUCAGUAGUAUUUUGUGACCACAUUUGUUUAUAUAAUGUUUUAUAGGUACCUUUAAAUUCAUCAUCAAUAUUAUUAUCUAUAGGGCGAUGCCCUUUUGCAGAAAGGAGUUGGUCUAUUUUGUUUUAUAACUUCUGGAGCAGUAUAUCCUGGUGUACCCUAAGAAAAAAAUCUUUUUAAUAAGCAAUAAAGACCAUAUUAUAUAAUAAAAA